CAUUGCCGCAAACCAAAUCGACAUGAGGACGCCGAUAGAUCAAAGGCACAUAGAUCAAGCUCGGACCGCACACGACAGAAGAACAGCGGAUCAAAGGCACGCAACAUCAAAUACUUGCAGAAAUUUUCAGGUAACAGAUGCAAUCUAGGCACAUCGACAAUGCUUACUUGCAUAGGCAAAUCCACGGCAUGCGGCCGGACACCAGCGGACCAAAGGCACAUCAUCAAAUUUAGCUUAUAGCUGCAAUCUUCAGGGAGGUACAAUACGAGCUAUUACAUGGAACAAUAUGAUUGACACAUAUACAUCAAAGAUCGUUGAGACCAUGUAUAUGUUGUUAGCAGCUUAAAAUUGUAGAAUGUACAAAAUAAAGCACGGAGGUAAAGUCGGGGAAGGAAGCAUCGAAUAAAUUUUCUGAUUAUUCAUCCUCCAUAGCUCCAGACGAUGUACCAAUGACAGUUUGAAAGAGCUAUCAUCGUUAUUGUGGUCCGGAUAUUGGGGAGCUGUCGUGAGAUUUUUUUUCAAAUACAUCAUAUCUGUCGCCUUGAACCAGCGUAAGCAUUACAACAAUGUGGAGCCAACGGCCGGUGGCGUGUGGCGGGAUAGAAGAUAGAUUUCACCGAGCGAUGAACACCGCCUGCACACAGGAGACAGCCACGUGUUGCGGGUGGGAAGAAAUAUUCACCUGAAAGAUGAACUUUCCAGCGGCUAAAGCCAAUAUCUUCAGAAGCCGCCAAAUCAGAUGAAUACCCAUUUAUUUGCUGGAAUACCCAUGUGAUCGCAUGGUGAUGCUGAUUAUACAUACGUGCCCACGGGUGUGAGAUCAUUGAUUGAAUGCACCCUGCACGUUGUAUGUGUGAAUAUGUAUAUACACAUGCAUGAGGUUUUGACAGUUUCAGCUGCAUUGGACUACGGCUUCAAAACCUGGAUGAAUUCGAGGCAAGCUGGUAAAAUCUCUUCAUGAUAAUAAUUCAAGGACCAGAUAGAGAGCAUGACAACAACAAAUCCUCCCGUUUGCAAAGAUGUGGUGAAGAUGCAAAGUUUUCACCAUUAGGUGCACUCUCAGUCGGGUCAAGAAAUCUGGUAGAGCUGAAGGACUAGCUUGGAUGAGAUGGUGGAGUCCAAGGUCCGCUGAAUAAAAUGAUUGCUUUUGAUCUUCGUAGUAAGCAAUAUGAUCCAUUAGUUUCAGUUAAAACUGGUACACGUCAUAUUAAUAUUUUGGUGCCCUUCCUGUUUGUCCGAAGAACAUGAGAUAUUAAGUACCUUUUUUAGUGGGAAUAAAAAUGUAUGCUUUUAGAAUUGAAUAUAUAAGU